UUGCACAGUGAACACUCAAGUGUGCUUUAUAGUUCCCUUGGCUUUGACCCUGUGCUAGAGCAUUCAUUACCUGUUCAUCUGCUCUGUGUUGAAAGGGAUAUUUGUCCUUUUAAAUGUAUUCAGAAAGCCAGCACAUUA
ensembl:snoRNA SNORA22B small nucleolar RNA, H/ACA box 22B